rnacentral:rRNA from 1 species
CCAAAAACAUCGCCUCUUGCAAAAACAAAAAAUAAGAGGUCCCGCCUGCCCUGUGACUAUAAGUUUAACGGCCGCGGUAUUUUGACCGUGCGAAGGUAGCGCAAUCACUUGUCUUUUAAAUGGAGACCUGUAUGAAUGGCACGACGAGGGCUUAACUGUCUCCUUUUUCCAGUCAAUGAAAUUGAUCUCCCCGUGCAGAAGCGGGGAUACCUACAUAAGACGAGAAGACCCUAUGGAGCUUUAGACACCAAAGUAGACCACGUUAAGCAUGCCUAGACAAAGGACUAAACCAGAUGGGACACUACUCUAAUGUCUUUGGUUGGGGCGACCGCGGGGAAAUACAAAACCCCCACGUGGAACGGGAACACUUUUCCUACAACCCAGAGCUCCCGCUCUAAUAAACAGAAAUUCUGACCAAUCAGAUCCGGCAACGCCGAUCAACGGACCGAGUUACCCUAGGGAUAACAGCGCAAUCCCCUUUUAGAGCCCAUAUCGACAAGGGGGUUUACGACCUCGAUGUUGGAUCAGGACAUCCUAAUGGUGCAGCCGCUAUUAAGGGUUCGUUUGUUCAACGAUUAAAGUCCUACGUGAUCUGA